rnacentral:lncRNA from 1 species
AAGAAUAUAGAUGAUUAUUUGAACAUUGGAUUUUUGAAAUAUAAUAGAAUUAAUAUGCAUGUAUCUAGAAAUUGACAUGUUUAAUAUCUAUUAGUAAUUAAAAAAUAUCUAAAGACCUAUAAUGAAUUUAUAGUUGAUUUUUUGUAUGAAGGUAGUUAAAGAUAUAAGUUAACUUGUAGAGAAUUUUGAACCCAACUAGACAGUUAGAUUGGAAGUUAUUGAAUGACACAUAUACAAAAGAGAUUUCUACAAGAAUAAAAGUGAUUUUAGGAUAUCUAGUCACAUGCAUUCAUUAAAUUUUCUUAUGUAUUUUAAACUUGUAUAUUUUAUAUAAUUAUCUUUUUAGAG